rnacentral:rRNA from 1 species
AGUAUCACCCAUGUGACUUACCUUUUGUGGCCUCAGCAGAAGUAUAGGCCUUCUUAUACCUGCUGCCGGCGGACCAUUAACCUCUUGAUAUUUUAUGUAAUCUGAGCGUCUUAUUUUAAUAAGUCAAAACUUUCAACAACGGAUCUCUUGGAUCUGGCAUCGAUGAAGAACGCAGCGAAAUGCCAUAAGUAAUGGGAAUUGAAGAAUUCAGUGAAUCAUCGAAUCUUUGAACGCACAUUGCGCCCAUUAAUAUUCUAGAGGGCAUGCCUGGUCGAGCGUCAUUUCAACCCUUAAGCCUAGCUUAAUGUUGGGAAUCUACUUCUCUUAGGAGGACUUAUCCUGAAAUACAACGGCGGAUUUGUAAAAUCCUCUGAGCGUAUGAAUUUUUUUCUCGCUUUUGUUAAGUGCUAUAACUCCCAGCCGCUAAACCCCCAAUUUUUUGUGGUUGACCUCGGAUCAUGUAGGAAUACCCGCUGAACUUAAGCAUA